AAGAUCCGGGCAAGAACGCCUAUACAAUGAUUGAUCUCAACUCGAGGCCAAACUGGAUUCAUGGGCAGCCUUCAAAUACACAAGGGAUGAAUGCUUUAAGCGAUAGCAAUCAUGAGUGUGCAAGCGUAAUUCCAGUGGGAUCUUGCAAUCAAGAUCUAGAGAAGUAAGCAAGGUAGAUUUUAUUCUUCUCAUUUAUGCUAGUUCACUAGUCUUUUUGUUUAACCAUUUCUUGGUUAAAGGAAAAAAGAAAAAAGAAAAAAAGAAAAAAGAAAAAGAUAAGGAGCUUGACUCCUUCGGCCUUCUGAGUUUUGGAUGUCCUAAAAAAGAAAAAGAUCAGAGUUAUUUAGACUAAUCAUUGGUUAACAUCUAUAAACCAAUGCCAUGGUGCAUGGGGUGUUUUUUUUUUUUUUUUUUUUUUGAAGCAGGAGUGCAUGGGACUGAAAUGUACAAUGCAGGUCUUGAAUUUUUGGGGGAAUGCAUGGGAACUGUUAUACAUGUUUUGUUGAGUU